AAUGGAAUUGCUGGAUCAAAUGGUAAUUUUACGUCUAACUUUUUGAGGAACUGCCAAACUGUUUUCCAUAGCAGCUACACCAUUUUACAUUUCCACCAGCAAU
rnacentral:pre_miRNA from 1 species